CUUGGCUCAUCUCGGAUGUACAACCCGCGGUCCCUCCGCUGCAACUGUGCUCGUGUGUUGACAUUCCACACAGGUGUGUCCGCUCGUAACUCUUCAGAAUUCACGAAAAUGGCUUUAGUAUCCACCACCUCUUUUCCCUUGUCCUGAUUUUGACGCUGAUUUGGCACUUGCAAGCGGUAGGGGCAAUCCUCCUGUCGAUGAAGUCCUGUGUCUGGCAUAUCCCACAGAUUGGCUGAUACUCUUCAGACUUCUGUGCAUUCGGACAGUUUGGCGCGAUAUGUCCAAGUUCCCCACACCGGUAGCACACUAUCGGGCCUCGGCCUCGGCCUCCGCCUCUGCCUCCGAACAUUCCCAUCCGGCCGCCACCUCGGCCUCCACCAGCAGUCUGCUGCAGCAUUGGCCCCGAGUUCUGCACAGCUCCUGGAGCUCCUACGUUAAAAACCGGGUACGUCUCAUAUUGCUGGUGCUGAACCUGCUGCUGGUGGUGAAAUUGUGGUUGAACGUGCUGCUGUGGAAAUUGUGGUUGAACGUAAUAGCUCGUGACUACAGGUUGCUGCUGGAACUUGGGCGUCACACGAGCUGGAUGAAAAAAACACUUCUCAGGCUUGUGGUCAAACUUCCCACAAUAGGGACAAGGAGCUUUUGCUGGAACCAGAUUUGGACACUCACUAGGAUAGUGGCCAUAUCCUUGACACUUAAUGCACCAGAUCUCAGCUCUCUCAUGCACUGGCCGAGUUGGAGCUCCCAAACCUUGAACUAGACUCACUUGGAGUUCUGCCAUCUUCUUGGUAAGUGUCUCCACCACAUCUUCUUUCACUUUCGUGAGUUGGCUCUCAAAUCCGGUCGUGUUUACUGCAGGUAACUAGAGAACUGACGGCUGGACCGGAAUCAAAGGUGGAGCUGCUACGGCUCCAAGCACACCAGUCUGGUACUGUGCAAUAUUCGGUGAGAACAAGUUACCAUAUGUUACUGGUGGAGUUGCAGCUGCAAUGACAUCCGGGCCUGUUCCCAUGUUGCUGCGUGCUCCACUGCUGCGUUCAAAUCUGCCGGUCUUUGCACCUUCACGUGGAACCCGAUUUCAAAUGGCAACCCAUUCAAGAACCAGCGGACUUGGUCGUCAGCGGCAGGCUGUGGAUCUUUCCUCGCGAGCAGCCUCUUGUAGCGAAGAACAUAAUUUUGCAAUGUCUCUCCAGGUAACAAUUGAAUUGAAUUUAGCUCAUCACUGAUACGCUGCUUGAAUCCCAUAGGACGGAAAGCAUUGAGAAAUGCUGUUUUGAGGUCUGCCCAGGCUGCAAAGGCUGCUGCUGCAUUCGCCUGACCAUACCAUUCUGCUGCUGCUCCCAGCAACGUCGCCGGAAACAGACGGACUCUCACAGCAUCUGCCUGCUCCUGAUUUGCUGUGCUGACAUUUUCAAAAGCAGUUACGUGAGCGUCUGGAUCGUCAGUCUGUGUAAACGUUGGAUACUUCAUCCUCGCGUUGGCAGGCUGUGCCAUUUGAGGAUUUACUGCUUGAGGUGUGGGCGAUGCUGGUUCAAAUGGCCCCCACUCCUCCCAAUUCAAACUUGAGUCCGAAGUCCUCGGACUAGUUUCAGGGCUGGUUUCAGGCGAAUUCUGCAACAGUCUCCUCGCUGCUCGUUCAGAACGGCCUCGAUUCUGCUCUGCCCUUCUAGUAGAAAAAUCUAGAAAAUUAUCCCAGUCCGGGGAUCUACCCGCCAGACCGAGAACCAACUGUGGCAAGGAUGCUUACUGCAGAUGCCCGCAGAUGACCGGCC
rnacentral:lncRNA from 1 species